rnacentral:rRNA from 1 species
CGGGGGGAGCAAGCGUUGUUCGGAUUUACUGGGCGUAAAGGGCGCGUAGGCGGCCACCGCAAGUCGAUUGUGAAAUCUCCGGGCUUAACCCGGAAAGGUCAACCGAUACUGCGGGGCUAGAGUGCAGAAGGGGCGACUGGAAUUCUCGGUGUAGCGGUGAAAUGCGUAGAUAUCGAGAGGAACACCUGCGGCGAAGGCGGGUUGCUGGGCUGACACUGACGCUGAUGCGCGAAAGCUAGGGGAGCGAACGGGAUUAGAUACCCCCGGUAGUCCUAGCCUUAAACGAUGGAUGCUUGGUGUCUGGGGUUUUAUAGUCCCCGGGUGCCGUCGCUAACGCUUUAAGCGUCCCGCCUGGGGAGUACGGUCGCAAGACUG